rnacentral:rRNA from 1 species
CCUACGGGAGGCAGCAGUGAGGAAUAUUGGUCAAUGGACGAGAGUCUGAACCAGCCAAGUAGCGUGAAGGAUGACUGCCCUAUGGGUUGUAAACUUCUUUUAUAUGGGAAUAAAAUGUUCCACGUGUGGGAUUUUGUAUGUACCAUAUAAAUAAGGAUCGGCUAACUCCGUGCCAGCAGCCGCGGUAAUACGGAGGAUCCGAGCGUUAUCCGGAUUUAUUGGGUUUAAAGGGAGCGUAGGUGGAUUGUUAAGUCAGUUGUGAAAGUUUGCGGCUCAACCGUAAAAUUGCAGUUGAAACUGGCAGUCUUGAGUACAGUAGAGGUGAGCGGAAUUCGUGGUGUAGCGGUGAAAUGCUUAGAUAUCACGAAGAACUCCGAUUGCGAAGGCAGUUCACUGGACUGCAACUGACACUGAGGCUCGAAAGUGUGGGUAUCAAACAGGAUUAGAUACCCCGGUAGUC